rnacentral:rRNA from 1 species
GAUGAACGCUAGCGAUAGGCUUAACACAUGCAAGUCGAGGGGCAGCGAGGGUAGCAAUACCUGUCGGCGACCGGCGCACGGGUGAGUAACGCGUAUGUAACCUGCCCGCAACAGGGGGAUAACCCGGCGAAAGUCGGACUAAUACCGCAUAAAACAGGGGUCCCGCAUGGGAAUAUUUGUUAAAGAUUUAUCGGUUGCGGAUGGGCAUGCGUACCAUUAGGUAGUUGGUGAGGUAACGGCUCACCAAGCCUUCGAUGGUUAGGGGUUCUGAGAGGAAGGUCCCCCACACUGGUACUGAGACACGGACCAGACUCCUACGGGAGGCAGCAGUGAGGAAUAUUGGUCAAUGGGCGAGAGCCUGAACCAGCCAAGUCGCGUGAAGGAUGGCUGCCCUAUGGGUUGUAAACUUCUUUUACAAGGGAAUAAAAUGAGAUACGUGUAUUUUAUUGCAUGUACCUUGGGAAUAAGCAUCGGCUAACUCCGUG